rnacentral:snRNA from 1 species
GUACUCACUUCGGCAGCACAUAUAAUAAAAUCAGAAUGGUACAGAGAUUAGCAUCGCUCCUGGGCAAGGGUGGCAUGCAAAUUUGAGAAGUGGUCCGCAUUUUU